GUGUUGUGCUACCGAGAAACUCGGGCAGUUGCUCCAUUAAAUGGUAAAAGUCGUCGUGACGGCCGGUUUCCAUCGGGUAGAAGCUGCAUACUAGAUCGAAAUUAUCACCGGUCAAUAGCGCAGAUUCUGAGGACAACAAAGGUGUCAAUACUUCCGACCUGCAGCAGCGGCUAAACAGUGCCACCCUGAAAAAGUGCCCCGUCUGCUGGAAGAAGUGUGAAAAAAACAUUUCCGAAGAGACCGAAGAAGCAUCCGGAGCUGCUCAACAAACUCGACGGCUUUCGCAGCCUAAUGGAUUACUGCGGUACUCUCCAGCAAACAAAACCCUCAAGCAACAGAUACAGAAAACGAGUGACCAUAAUAAACCAGCACCGAUAAGGAAAUCAAGAAUCGUCGGAAUGCAUCAGCAUCUUGAUGGGGAUCAACCAGCCGGAUAACGAUGGAAUCCAAGGGUAGUGUUUGGAACCGACAUUUAACAAACCUGAUACCGAUUUUACGCAUUCAUAAAUGAGCUCACUGACCCGCUGGUUUCAUCGACCAUCUGAUUCGUUGAGGGCCCCACUACUCACGAACUUUUAUCUAAGAUUAUUGCCGAAGCCAAGAAACAGCUGACAAAUGCCAUCUAGGAGCUGCAAACUAACAAGAUGGAUGGUAAUUUAUUGUCGGAUUGAUGCAAGUGGUCGAAAGUCGAUGGGAAUCCGCUGGUGCAUUUAAGGGUCAUAGCACGAAACCAGCACAAUAACACCAAAAGUGCGACAGCAACUACCAGACAGCAACAUCAUCUUGUACAGAUGCGUGGUAGUCUUCACAUUUUCAAUCAAUGGCCCGUGUAGGGAUCCGUUAGAAUGUCGUUCAUAAAAUAAUUAUCAGAUCGGUGAUAUUCUGCUCAACAUGCACGAACGAGGAAAUAUGAAGCCUAUAAUCGCGCACAGCUUUCCUGCUACGAAAUCAAUGUCGCCAUCCUUCUUCAUCAUGGCAGUUCCUGAAAUGUCGCGCACAUAAUUGUGCAAUUUAGUUUGCAACGGAAGAUCACCCAUCGGGAUACCUUCCGCGACUGAGUCAUCGAUGUUGCUUAUCUGGCAGGCUAUUGAGACUUACUGAGGAGAUUCUUAGGCCUAACCUGAGAGAAUGUGCGUAAGUAUUCAUUUCUUCAUUGGUGUCCUACUCAAUUAUAAUGGAUCAUGAACAGCUAAAGAAAAAAUGUUUCAAAUCAAUGUUGUGAGAAGUUCAAUUUAUCAUUUUUUUUUAAAUUUUAUAUAAGCUCUUCAUGAAUCAAGCAGAAUUUUAAUUAGGAGAUAAUUUAACUAAAAAAUUAUUCAACGAAAUCUAAUAGUUAAAAUAAACAUGUUUCAACAAUCAUUGUUUUAGCAUAACUGUUUUUCUUUGUUUGUGAUGUCUUUUGAUCAAGUUGAUUAAUAAUUUUGAUUAAACUGAUUGUAAAACCAAGCAUUGCGUAUAGUUCUCGAUUAAAUUGAUCAUGUUGCAAGUUUGUCUGUAUUGAUUGAGCCUGAAUAGGACGUUACAUAAAUCACGUAAAUAUGAUGGCCAGAAAAGGAUAACUUUUAUUCAUAGUACUUGGUUUUAAAUAAUCAAUAUUUCAUAAAAUUUUAUUGA